UCCCUAUCAAUCAUCGAGAUAAAGAACUGUAAAUUCUUAUACACCUAUAACUUU
rnacentral:tRNA from 2 species